UACUUAGUUAAUUUUAUUAGUAGUUAUAUAUUUGUUUUAAAAAUUAAACUAUAUAUAUUUAAAUUUAAGUAAUUAAAUUAUAAAAUUGCGAAUGGCUUAUUAAAUUAGUUAUAGUUUAUUUGAUAGUACUUUACUAUAUGGAUAACUGUGGUAAUUUUAGAGUUAAUAUAUGCUAAAAACCCCGACUUCGGAAGGGGUAUAUUUAUUAAAUUAAAAACUAAUGCCCUUCGGGGCUAAUUAGUAAUUUAUAAUAAUUUUUCGAAUUAUAUAGUUUUGUAUUAGCGAUAGUUUAUUUAAAUUUCUACCCUAUUAAUUUUCGAUAGUUAGGUUUUGGUUAACUAUAGUGAUAAUAGGUAAUGGAGGGUUAGGGCUCAACUUUAGAAAAGGAGUUUAAAAAACGGUUACUAUAUUUAAGGAAGGUAGUAGGCGUAUAAAUUACUUAAUUCCAAUACGGGGAGGUAGUAAUAAUAAAUAUUAAUAUAAGGCUCUUUUAGGUCUUAUAAUUAGAAUAAAUAUAAUUUAAAUCCCUUAACGAAGAAUAAUUGGAGGGUAAGUUUAGUAUUAGUAGUUGCGGUAAUUCUAAUUCUAAUAAUAUAUAUUAAAGUUAUUAAGGUUAAAAAGCUCGUAGUUAAAUUUUAGGUUCGGCCCGUCGGUCCGCCUUAUUAUAUAUAUUAAUUGGGUUGGGCUUUUUUUUUUAGAGAAUUGUAUGCCCUUUAUUAAGUAUGUUAGGGAAUUAGGAUUUUUAUUAUAAAUAAAUUAAAUUAUUUAAAGAAGGCUUAUAUUUAAAUAUAUUAGUAUAGAAUAAUAGAAUAGGAUAUAUAGUUCUAUUUUAUUGGUUUUUAGGACCGUUGUAAUAAUUAAUAGGGAUAGUUGGGGGUAUUAAUAUUUAAUUAUUAGAGGUGAAAUUCUUGGAUUUAUUAAAGAUUAAUUAUUGUGAAAGUAUUUACUAAGGAUGUUUUUAUUAAUUAGGAAUGAAAGUUAGGGGAUUGAAGACGAUUAGAUACUAUUGUAGUUUUAAUUAUAAAUUAUACUAAUUAGGGAUCGGACGGUAUUAUUUUUUAACCCGUUCGGUACUUUACAAUAAAUUAAAAUGUUUGGGCUUUUGGGGGAGUAUAAUUAUAAGGUUAAAAUUUAAAGAAAUUAAUAGAAGGGUACUACUAGGGGUGGAGCUUACGGUUUAAUUUGAUUUAAUAUAAGGAAAUUUACUAAAUUUAAAUACAAUAAAAAUUAAUAGAUUGAGAGCUCUUUCUUAAUUUUGUAGGUAGUAGUAUAUAGCUGUUCUUAGUUAAUAGAAUAAUUUAUCUAUUUAAUUACAAUAACAAACGAGACUUUAAUUUACUAAAUAGCCUAUAUUACUUUGGUAGUACGCUGGCUUUUUAGAGGGACUAUCGGUUUAAGCUAAUAGAAGUUUAAGGUAAUAAUAAAUUUAUAAUAUCCUUAGAUAUUCUAGGCCGCAUAUAUACUAUAUUAAUAUAAUUAGCGAAUAUUCCCUUAACUAGAAGGUCCGGGUAAUCUUAUUAAACUAUAUUGUAUUGGGAAUAGAAUAUUACAAUUAUUACUCUUUAACAAGGAAUCUUUAGUAAAUAUAAGUUAUUAAUUUAUAUUAAUUACAUUCCUACCCUUUAUAUAUAUUGCCCAUUACUACUACCGAUUAAAUAGUUUAAUAAAGCUUCCGGAUUGGCCUAGGGAGGUUAGUAACGAUUAUUUAGGGCCGGAAAGCUAUCUAAAUUCGGUUAUUUAGAGGAAGUAAAAAUCGUAAUAAAGUUUCCGUUGGUAAAUUAGUAGAAAGAUUAUUA
rfam:Neurospora crassa OR74A unplaced genomic scaffold supercont12.9, whole genome shotgun sequence.